rnacentral:rRNA from 1 species
CAAGAUACCUGGAAUGGUUUUUGAUCAAAAUCUAUAUGGCCUUUGGAUUGGACUGCGUCCGAUCAGGCUGUUGGUGAGGUAAUGGCCCACCAAACCUGUAACCGGUACGGGCUCUGAGAGGAGGAGCCCGGAGAUGGGUACUGAGACAAGGGCCCAGGCCCUAUGGGGCGCAGCAGGCGCGAAACCUCUGCAAUAGGCGAAAGCUUGACAGGGUUACUCUGAGUGAUUUCCGUUAAGGAGAUCUUUUGGCACCUCUAAAAAUGGUGCAGAAUAAGGGGUGGGCAAGUCUGGUGUCAGCCGCCGCGGUAAUACCAGCACCCCGAGUGGUCGGGACGUUUAUUGGGCCUAAAGCAUCCGUAGCCGGUUCUACAAGUCUUCCGUUAAAUCCACCUGCUUAACAGAUGGGCUGCGGAAGAUACUAUAGAGCUAGGAGGCGGGAGAGGCAAGCGGUACUCGAUGGGUAGGGGUAAAAUCCGUUGAUCCAUUGAAGACCACCAGUGGCGAAGGCGGCUUGCCAGAACGCGCUCGACGGUGAGGGAUGAAAGCUGGGGGAGCAAACCGGAUUAGAUACCCGGGUAGUCCCAGCUGUAAACGAUGCAGACUCGGUGAUGAGUUGGCUUAUUGCUAACUCAGUGCCGCAGGGAAGCCGUUAAGUUUGCCGCCUGGGGAGUACGGUCGCAAGACUGAAACUUAA